rnacentral:rRNA from 1 species
ACGUACACUCCUACGGGAGGCAGCAGUGGGGAAUUUUACGCAAUGGGGGAAACCCUGACGUAGCGACACCGCGUGAGCGAAGAAGCCCUUUGGGGUGUAAAGCUCUGUCAGCUGGAACGAAAACAAUGACGGUACCAGCAGAGGAAGCAUCGGCUAACUACGUGCCAGCAGCCGCGGUAAGACGUAGGAUGCGAGCGUUGUCCGGAUUUAUUGGGCGUAAAGAGUUCGUAGGUGGUUUGUUAAGUUUGGUGUUAAAGAUCGGGGCUCAACCCUGGGACUGCACUGAAUACUGGCAGACUCGAGUGUGGUAGAGGCUAGUGGAAUUCCCAGUGUAGCGGUGAAAUGCGUAGAUAUUGGUAAGAACACCGGUGGCGUAGGCGACUAGCUGGGCCAUAACUGACGCUGAGGAACGAAAGCCAGGGGAGCGAAUGGGAUUAGAAACCCUGGUAGUCCCA